AGUGAACGCUGGCGGUAGGCCUAACACAUGCAAGUCGAACGGCAGCACAGUAAGAGCUUGCUCUUACGGGUGGCGAGUGGCGGACGGGUGAGGAAUACAUCGGAAUCUACUUUUUCGUGGGGGAUAACGUAGGGAAACUUACGCUAAUACCGCAUACGACCUACGGGUGAAAGCAGGGGAUCUUCGGACCUUGCGCGAUUGAAUGAGCCGAUGUCGGAUUAGCUAGUUGGCGGGGUAAAGGCCCACCAAGGCGACGAUCCGUAGCUGGUCUGAGAGGAUGAUCAGCCACACUGGAACUGAGACACGGUCCAGACUCCUACGGGAGGCAGCAGUGGGGAAUAUUGGACAAUGGGCGGAAGCCUGAUCCAGCCAUACCGCGUGGGUGAAGAAGGCCUUCGGGUUGUAAAGCCCUUUUGUUGGGAAAGAAAAGCAGCAGGUUAAUACCCCGCUGUUCUGACGGUACCCAAAGAAGAAGCACCGGCUAACUUCGU
rnacentral:rRNA from 1 species